AGAUUGAACGCUAGCGGGAUGCUUUACACAUGCAAGUCGAACGGCAGCGCGGACUUCGGUCUGGCGGCGAGUGGCGAACGGGUGAGUAAUAUAUCGGAACGUGCCCAGUAGCGGGGGAUAACUACGCGAAAGCGUGGCUAAUACCGCAUACGCCCUACGGGGGAAGGGGGGAUCUUCGGAACCUCUCACUAUUGGAGCGGCCGAUAUCAGAUUAGCUAGUUGGUGAGGUAAAGGCUCACCAAGGCGACGAUCUGUAGCUGGUUUGAGAGGACGACCAGCCACACUGGGACUGAGACACGGCCCAGACUCCUACGGGAGGCAGGCAGUGGGGAAUUUGGAACAAGUGGGGGAAACCUGG
rnacentral:rRNA from 1 species